rnacentral:lncRNA from 1 species
UCCUCUCUGACAAUAAGUAUGUAAUCUGAUCUGUUAUAUUUGACCGUCGUUCUCUUUUUCCUGUUGUCCAUUUUAUUAAAAAAGCUUAUAUUGAAUCCUCUUCUGCCAUUUUAUUCUCAUCUUACAUUAGUGGCCACGAACUUGGAAUAACCCUUUGGGGUGAGAGUGCUAUUCGAUUUAAUGGAGAGAGUGUGCAUUUCAUGGGUCAAACAGACCCGGCUAUCGUUAUCUUUGUCGGCACCACCGUUUGUAUGUAUGAAGGUGACUAGGAAACAACCCGAUGAAUGUGCUUGCUUGUUUCCCGCUGCCUUCGAUUUAUUUAAUGGUAUUAUUAUUUGUCAUGAGCUAGGGUCCAAGGAAUUAUCUGGUGGAUGUGCUUGCAAAUGAUAUGUUAACCAUGAUAUACCAGAGAUAAACAUAUUUAGGAGCAGGUGAGGGCCACGGUCUAUUCAUACGGCGUUUGUUUUCUCUAUUUUGUACUCAAGUAUUGUAUUCUCUCUGCUUCUUAGGCUCCCAGUCAUCUUCCCUGCCAUUGAGCAUCUUCCUGCACCGUCGAAGAUUAUUCUCCAGGUCCAACAUGCCGAUGUGCAUCCAAUGGUGUUAUUGACCCACCUCAUAAACAUCAACUUAUAUCAAAAGGAGGUACCAUUGUAACACCAUGCAGUUUUGGCAGUCUUCCCAUAGUGCUUGCUAUUUAUAUCUUUACAGAUAGAUUGAUUAUGCACUACGAUGCUUGACUUCUCAGGCGGGAACCUUCCGAUGCAAUGUGGUGAUUACCAGGGUUUCACAUUUGAAAAAAUGGUGGGCUACCUUCUGUGCAGACUGCCAUCACAUGUCCAUGCCAGCUACAACAUCGCUUACCCAGCCAGAUGUUUAUAUGUGCUCUCGUUGAUCUUGUUCAUGCACUAGCGCUACAAUUGGAUGAGAACAAUUCAAUGUUAUAUCAAUCAAUGGUCAUUUGCUCUCCCUGCUCAUUUCAUCUAUGUUAAUGUUCAGGUACACAUUGUUUGUCCUUGCGAAAGAUCGAAGUGGAGAGGCUGAAUUUGAAUUGUUUGGCACAAAGGCUCAACAAAUCAUCGAUCGAUCUGCUAGCCAGGUCCUUCGCAACAGCACUCACAUGGCCCUGCUAUUCCCAAUGUUCAUGUAGUGGCCUCAAUGCUAAGGAAAACCCCGCCUGAACUCAGUGGUCUCCUUUCCAUGAGAUGUAAGUUUGUUGUUCGUGCAUCGCCUGAAAGUUUCUUCGGAAGGUGGCCGAUGUUCCAUGUCGAUGCUAUUGAGUCCUUUGAGCCCGUCAAAUCGAACCUCUCUAUGAUAGAUUUGCUUACGCCAUCAUGAAGUGAUGCACGCAAGGAACUUCUUAUGAGAUCAGUGUGGAUGUUCCCUAGAGUUGAUUUUCGGUCUCCUGAGUGAUCUCUAGAUCUUUUGAUAAUGAACCUUUUUAUUAGUAGGAUUGUAAAUAUAUCGGUUCUGUAAACAGUAUUGUAUUAACUAUGACACUAUGGUCUUUUACCUUGGGACUAGGCUGCUGUUGAAAACAUGGUUAAAUAUAAUGUUCAUGUGCGUUUCCUUUCACUUAAAGAUCAGUCUAUUCACUUGACUGUAUG